AUAAAGAUGAGACUAGCUUAAAGGUUCUUAAUUCAAAUCCUACUGCUACAUUUGUCUGGCCAGAUUUCAGCCUCUGUUAAAUCACAUCUUCCCCUAUCAUUAUUUUUCUUCAUUUUAGCAGAUUAUCCUCAUUGUGAGAGGUUCAGAGCAAAACAAAACACACCCACUCACAGACACACACACCCUCAAACAAAGCCAUUUGCAUUGUACUUUCAAAGUUGUACCAGCUACUUCAAGAGAAUAAAGUGCUAUCAAGCUGCAAAGUGCUUUUACGGAGCCAAACACCCUUGACACAAAAAUAUAGGUAAAAUAACACUUCAGAGAUGCUUUGUUUUGUUUUGUUUUGUUUUGUUUGUUUUGUUUUGUUCUGUUCUGUUCUGUUCUGUUCUGUUCUGUUCUGUUCUGUUCUGUUUUGCAGUGGUCUUAGCAGUCAUCUCAUGAUCUGUUUUUUAAGUUAAUUAUCUCUGGCCUUUACUCAACAUGUGAGGACCACCUGUCAGAUGCAGCAUUAUGAUCAUCUAAUAGCCAAUGGCGGUAUAAUUUUUUUCAAAUUGCACACUAACUGUCACUCAUCUCACAUGGACCCUAGUUCUUAAGCAUCAAGGAAAGCUUACUAGCUUUUGUUAAUACUUCAACUUUGGGGAUUUAAUCUAAGUUAUAAAUUUGUUCACACUGACUGACUAUUAUCAUUCUAUGGCAGAAAGAGGAAAAAAUAUAAAAACUUGUGAGAAAUCCUCUUCACUUAAUGAUUGCUGCUAAAUAAUAUGCCAAGUCAUAUUGACCCCGCAGUGCCUGUAUAUAUCAUAGAAUCUAAGGCACUCAAGACCAGUAAAAUAGAAAUAAAAGUGCUCUUGGACUGAUGUCUAGCAAUUUUGAAUCUUUAGGAUAGAAUUCUAGCAAGGUAGACUGUAUCUUUGUACUAUAUAUUCUGGUGCAAUUUAAUAAAGUAGGAAUUAAUCAGAGCACAAAGAGGAUCCAGAAAUGACAUUUUGGUUUCAAUCUUCAGCUUCCAAAAGUUCCUUGCUUCCAAAAAGGAGCCUUGGUGGCGCAGCAGACUAAACUGCUGUUAAAGUAGCACUUAGCUGCCAGCAGCCUGCAUUUACUGCGAGUUCAAUUCUCACCAGGCUCAAGGUUGACUCAGCCUUCCAUCCUUUCGAGAUGGAAACCCCUAAUCUGGCUCUCAAAUCUUGGAUUUUCAAUCACAGACACAAAGAUCCACAUACAGGAAAAGAUUCCUAGAAUGCAAGACUUACCAAUUAAGCCAAAGAUUCCCAAGAUGGAGGGAGCAAAAAUAACAAGCAAAUUAAUAGAUGUCAGUAGAAGAAAAGCAAUGAUAAUGUGUCGAAUCCAGCUGAAAUCCUUGUCUGGAAAAAGCAUCUGCUGGAUUGCACGGCGCACCUGAAGAAAAACAACGUAGUCAGGAUACAAUGCAAGGAUUCAGCAUUCUUCUUUGGAGGUUCUCUAAUGAAAUGCAUGAGACAGGCCAGUCCAAAGCACAGCUGAGAACACAAGCUUUGCAAAAUGUGAAAAGAUUGCUACUGUUGGUGCUUUAUAGUUCAUUAGUGAGUUGAGCAUCCAAAGAACAUGUAGCUGCCUGCAACUGCAUUCCAAUGAUAUUUGUCCUCCUGCCUACUGAGAAUCAACGUUCUGGAAUGGCAGAAAAUUUGCUCAACAGAACCAGCCACUUUGGCCUUUUGUACUUGACAUGGAAGGAAGCUGUCCAGAAUUUGCUACAGGCAAUGUGCAGGAAAUGUGUGCGUGCAUGAGGAAGAAAAAGAACGAAUGUCCUAAAACAUCAUCUUUAUAUUCCUCCUCUAAAUUCAGUCAUCUGACGCCUAUGCUGUUUCUUCAAUUUGCAACACUACUUCGGUGAUGUCAACAGUGAGUUUACCAAUUCUUCAUAAAUUCUAAAACUUAACCUCCAGGAAAAAUAUCUGAACUGCUGCUAAGAGCAGAGAGUUGAUAAUACCAACUGUGCUGCAUUGACAAGAAAAAUAUUGAGGGAAAAACAAUUAGGUAAGGAACUUGGCAGGGAGAGUGUGGUUCUUCUCAUUUAUUCAGUUGCUGAACUUUUCUAGGCCAGUAUUUUUUUUUAAAGGCCACAAGGCUGUAACUAGAAGGGAAAUUAAUAAUCUCACUUCAUCAGUAAGCAAAAUGAGUGUCUCUUCUUAACAUCCACAAACUCUGCUCCAAGAGUUCUCAUAUUCUCACAGGAACAAAGGUUUAGCCCACCUGGGGCUGGCCGUCAGCUUAUGAAAGGACUGAAGUCUGAGAGGAGCGUCAGAGGGACUGGAGGCAAAUCUCUGGCAGGCUACUUUGCCAGGUUUGGAAAACCCUCAGCCUCAGACAUGCUGGCAGGCGACACAAAGCACCUUCUGUUGGGCUUCCUGGUUCUACUUAGCGGAUAGUUGGAAAGUGGUUUCCAAAACAGAGCAACUUUAGAGGCAGUUGGCGCCCCAAGGAAAGAGAAGGACUACAUCCCAGCUUCUCUGUGCCACCAGCUCCUUUUGACUGUCUUUCCCCUGCUAGCUCAGGAAAGUGUGUUGUGCUGUUGUUUCUAAAAUAAUAUGUUAGUAUUCCAUAAACUGCAGUUGAUAUGAUGAGAACCAAUAAUUUAUUCUAUUUCCAGUCUUCCUCUCCAUAUCUUAUAUGCAUCUCAGUGCUCACCUGGGAAAACCCCUUUCUCCACAGCAAUAGCAAUAGCACUUAGACUUCUAUACCGCUUCACAGCGCUUUACAGCCCUCUCUAAGCAGUUUACAGAGUCAGCCUAUUGCCCCCAACAAUCUGGGUCCUCCUUUAACCCACCUCGGAAGGAUGGAAGCCUGAGUCAACCUUGAGCCUGGUGAGAUUCGAACUGCCAAAUUGCAGGCAGCCGGCAGUCAGCCGGCAGUCCUGCACUGUAACCACUGCGGCACUGUGGCUCACCAUUGCUUUACCAUUCUUACUCUUCUUUAUUUAUUUAAAGAACUCAUAUUGCUGCUUAAAACAGACACUGGUCCCUAUGGGGCUCAAAGCAAACCUAACUAGCAAAAUCUCAGGUGGAAAACUAUACCAAAAGGUCAGAGUUGAGAAGGAAUGCCUUCCAGGUCUCAAUAGGUAACAAAUUUGAAGAAAGGGGGUGCCCUUACCCUAUCUAACCCAGUGAGACGGACAGAUACCCUCAAACAAAUAACCUAUUGCUGUGUUGUGUAGAGCUUUGAGAGGAGUGAAAACCAGCACUUUGAACCGGCGCUCCCAGAAAGCAACUGAAAGCCAGUGGAGCUUGUGUAACAACAACAGUAUAACAAGUAACAAACCACAGCAUGCUCUAAAUUAGUUGCAGCUUCUGGCUGGUCUUCUUCAAGGAUAGCCCCGUGCAGUGUGCCUUCAUUCCAAUUGUUAAGUGACUAAGAUGGGAAUGACUACGAAAAAGGCCUCUGGUCAUUCUGUAAAAUAUGAGAACUAAAUUUUUCUUCCCAUUAUCAAUUUUGUGGUUUUUCAUGGAUAUAUAUGCCACCCGCACACCUUUUUUUUUUUGCAACUCUAUCAAUUUUGAUCGAAGUUGAGUCACACAGGUGGACCCAGCACAAAAGGCAUAGAGACAUAUCACAGCCACACAAAUGUGAGGUGAUUCUCAGCAAAAGAAUUUUUACAAUUUUUCUUCAAGCAUAAUUUAUUAUUAUUUUUCUUAUAUGAAAAAAAUAUGAAAAACGAAUGGCAGAGAACAGAAGGUUUUAUGUAGAGUAUCUCAUAGCUUGAGGCUUUAUGCUUAGUGAUCAUUUUUUUGUUAAAAGGGGCAAGUUUUGCCCCUACUCUCAACAAUCCACCAGUUGCAGCCACUUACUUGAGAAUGUUAUCUGGGAGGAGUUUGAUCCUGUGACUCCCGAGGAUGUGGACAGGGUUCUGGGUAAGAUUUGUGCCGCCACGUGUUUAUUGGACUCGUGUCCCUCCUGGUUGGUACUGGCCUCCCGGGAGGUUACACGAGGCUGGCUCCAGGGAAUUAUAAGUGCUUC